rnacentral:rRNA from 1 species
AUUGAACGCUGGCGGCAGGCCUAACACAUGCAAGUCGAGCGGAGCGGCGGACGGCUGAGUAAUGCCUAGGAAUCAGCCUGGUCGUGGGGGAUAACGUCCUGAAACGGGCGCUCAUACCGCAUACUAUCAGAUGAGCCUAGGUCGGAUUAGCUAGUUGGUAGGGUAAAGGCCUACCAAGGUGACGAUCCGUACCUGGUCUGAGAGGAUGAUCAGUCAAACUGGAACUGAGACACGGUCCAGACUCGUACGGGAGGCAGCAGUGGGGAAUAUUGGACAAUGGACGAAAGCCUGAUACAGCCAUGCCGCGUGUGUGAAGAAGGUCUUCGGAUUGUAAAGCACUUUAAGUUGGGAAGCGUUACCAACAGAAUAAGCACCGGCUAACUACGUGCCAGCAGCCGCGGUAAUAC